rnacentral:lncRNA from 1 species
GAGUUUGUAUUUUGUGGGAUGACAGUUUGGUAAGAAAGUGCAACCUCUCAACAAAAAGUGUAGUGUUCUUUAGAAGAAAGUGGAGGAGGCUGAAAAGGAAAAGUUGAAAUACAAGGAGUUAGCCAAGGGUGUUGAAGUUUAUGCUAAUAAGGAAGCUACCAUGCCGGCUAAUAUUAGGAAGACUUUCAAAGAUUGGAACAUGGUAAAAUGAAUCAUGAGGCCCCUGCUAUGAAGGCUGAUCUUGAAAUCUCUUGACUUAGUAAGGAAGUUUAGUUGACAAAGCCACAUCCGACUUUUGAUGUUGUUUGUCCUGCUCCAUUCAUGAAUCAAAUUUAAUUAAAUGAGUUAAUUAAAUAUUGGACCGGGUCAGACCAAACCUGUUUGAGCUUAUAUAAAUACGUGAGUAGGAUUUUCAAUUUGUAGAUAUUCUCAGAGAAAACCUUGGUUGUUACAAUCUGUUCUCUGUAUGAAAUUUCAUUGGAGGUUGGACAAUUGGACAUCUGUACGUGAUAGAUUAAGGUUGUUGGAAUGAAGAAAAACAAAGGAGUUUGCAAAUCUAGAAAAAUGUAUUACUUUUAU